GCUGGGCAUGGUGACACAUGCCUAUAAUCCCAGUGGCUCGGGAGGCUGAGGCAGGAGGAUAGAGAGUUGAAAGCCAGCCUCAGCUACAAAAUUCAGUGAGACCCUGUCUCUA
rnacentral:sRNA from 1 species